UACGAAGGGUGCAAGCGUUACUCGGAAUUACUGGCGUAAAGCGUGCGUAGGUGGUCUGUUAAGUCUGAUGUGAAAGCCCUGGGCUCAACCUGGGAAUUGCAUUGGAUACUGGCAGGCUAGAGUGCGGUAGAGGAUGGCGGAAUUCCCGGUGUAGCAGUGAAAUGCGUAGAGAUCGGGAGGAACAUCUGUGGCGAAGGCGGCCAUCUGGACCAGCACUGACACUGAGGCACGAAAGCGUGGGGAGCAAACAGG
rnacentral:rRNA from 1 species